CAACUUUCAGCAACGGAUCUCUUGGCUCUCGCAUCGAUGAAGAACGCAGCGAAAUGCGAUAAGUAAUGUGAAUUGCAGAAUUCAGUGAAUCAUCGAAUGUUUGAACGCAU
rnacentral:rRNA from 2 species